GUAAGUUCUGUCUAGAACUUCUUGUAGAAGCAGAGGGCAGUGAUCCAGUAGAUAGUGGGAACCGAGCUGAGAACAGACCUUCAGGAAAUCCAUGCUUACAAAGAAACAGCAGCAGAUCCAGGUGAAGACUUUCAGGAAGAAAUUGGUUUACUGGUCUGUGAUUUAAGUUUAGGAGCCUUAUCUUGGGAGCAGUGGCCACUGUGUUCAUGACAACACAGCAUCAGGGAGAUUGAGGGCCAAGGACAAAUGAUAUGGCCACAAAUCUGUUCUGAUGAAUGUAGGAAUGCUUCCUGUUCUGAGAGUUCAACAUCCUGAGUGUCAAGAGCCCCUUGGAUUAGAGAAGAUUUUAAGCAAAGAAAGCAAGAUAUUCCCACAGCCUCAUGACAGCAGCCUUGGAAGAGGAUCUUAGAUUUUUGGGGGCUAAUCUGACUGUCUCUGGACAUCAGAGUGCUCACCAGUGCCCAAGUGGAAAAGUGUCCCCUGGGAGAUACAAAGAAUCCGCAUUGAGUAAGAAGCCCACCACUUCUGCAUAUUUGACCUGAUUAAACUGUCUGUGGUUUUCUUUG